GGGUGGGGGGGGGAGCUGCUCUGCUUCCUGUCUCUCCCUCACUCCAGUGCUUCUGGCCAGAGCAUCCGUGGGAAGGCAUAUGCAGCCAGUUCUCCGUCAGCGAUGUGUGGUGAUGCUGUGUGACGUGCAGUCCAGAAUGUUGGCUCCUCGCUGCAUUCACAGCUUCGGCAUGGAGGAGGACAGACCGCCUCGCUGCCGUCGUGCAUCCAGGUUCACACUAAGAAUACAUCUAGCAGGUGAGGUGUGAGGUAACGACUGGAGGGACGUGCAACCUCUAUCCCACAGCGUGGCCAUAGAAAUCUCCAGGGCUUACCACGUACUCCAUGGGGCUGCCCCGCACGUGCCUGCAGCCCUAGGAACACCACAAAAGGGAUCAGCACAAGCAGCAGGAAGCCUGGCACGAGGACUGAACAUUUCAGUCCUCUUGGUGGAUUGCGAACAGGGACCAGAUGGGACCAGCUGUCAGCAAGACAACAGGGACACUGGGCCACAAGUUCCUAGAUUUAUUUGGAUUAGACGGUCUUUUAUCAGCAGAGACUUCAACAAAAAUAAAUUCAGCCGUGGGUGACUUUGCUUCACACCAAACCUGAGAUUAGGCUUCAACAGUCAUUCUUGUCAACAAAGCUAAACUGGCAGACACAUCUACUGUCCAAAAGUCUACCUAUUUAGGAUACCAGGCUUGAGGUCAAAAAUUAAAUUGCACAAAUUGAGUAAACAAAACCAAAAAAAAACAGUGCAUAUGGUACAAGACAAGUGUGAUAAAACUGGCAGAUGGAGCAGUACGAGUAUAGUCUUGC